rnacentral:pre_miRNA from 1 species
UGGGGUGAAACCCAUGUGGGUCUCAUACUUUGGAAAUGGAUCCCAAAUAAAGUAGUGAGACCCACAUGGGUUUCACCCAA